UACAGAGGGGGCAAGCGUUGUUCGGAAUUACUGGGCGUAAAGGGCGCGUAGGCGGCCCUCUAAGUCAGACGUGAAAUCCCUCGGCUCAACCGGGGAACUGCGUCUGAGACUGGAAGGCUUGAAUUCGGGAGAGGGAUGUGGAAUUCCAGGUGUAGCGGUGAAAUGCGUAGAUAUCUGGAUGAACACCGGUGGCGAAGGCGGCAUCCUGGACCGAGAUUGACGCUGAGGCACGAAAGCGUGGGGAGCGAACAGG
rnacentral:rRNA from 1 species